rnacentral:rRNA from 1 species
CACAUGCAGUCGAACGAAGCUUGACGGAUGAUUUCUUCGGAAUGAAACCUGAUAUGACUUAGUGGCGGACGGGUGAGUAACACGUGAGCAACCUGCCUUUCAGAGGGGGAUAACGGCUGGAAACGGUCGCUAAUACCGCAUGACGUGUUCGGAUGGCAUCAUCUGAACAUCAAAGAUUUAUCGCUGAAAGAUGGGCUCGCGUCUGAUUAGAUAGUUGGUGGGGUAACGGCCUACCAAGUCUACGAUCAGUAGCCGGACUGAGAGGUUGAACGGCCACAUUGGGACUGAGAUACGGCCCAGACUCCUACGGGAGGCAGCAGUGGGGAAUAUUGCACAAUGGGGGAAACCCUGAUGCAGCAACGCCGCGUGAAGGAUGACGGUUUUCGGAUUGUAAACUUCUUUUCUUAGUGACGAAGACAGUGACGGUAGCUAAGGAAUAAGCAUCGGCUAACUACGUGCCAGCAGCCGCGGUAAUACGUAGGAUGCAAGCGUUAUCCGGAUUUACUGGGUGUAAAGGGAGCGCAGGCGGGACUGCAAGUUGGAUGUGAAAUACCGUGGCUUAACCACGGAACUGCAUCCAAAACUGUAGUUCUUGAGUGAAGUAGAGGCAAGCGGAAUUCCGAGUGUAGCGGUGAAAUGCGUAGAUAUUCGGAGGAACACCAGUGGCGAAGGCGGCUUGCUGGGCUUUAACUGACGCUGAGGCUCGAAAGUGUGGGGAGCAAACAGGAUUAGAUACCCUGGUAGUCCACACUGUAAACGAUGAUAGCUAGGUGUGGGGGGUCUGACCCCUUCCGUGCCGGAGUUAACGCAAUAAGCUAUCCACCUGGGGAGUACGACCGCAAGGUUGAAACUCAAAGGAAUUGACGGGGGCCCGCACAAGCAGUGGAUUAUGUGGUUUAAUUCG